GGAUUUGAGGGUAACCUGGCUGCAUCAUCUAUCACCCAUUGACAGCCCGCACUAAUUCAAGUGAUCUGGUGGGCUAUGCAGGUGUCCUUUCCUCCCCCACUAGGCCAUGUGCAUCUCUCCUAAAGCUGCGUGCUUGGUCUAAGAGGACAACUUUCUUGGAAUAGAGGAUGACUGAUCCUCCAUCAAGGGUAUAUGAGUAGUUGUGAACCCCUGAGAGAAUCUCCAAGCAAGUGCUCAAGAAUUUAGAAGUCAUGGAAGAACUACAUGUAAUAGGAAAGUUGGGAGUAUCAGAUGUUGCUGACAAUAUAACUGCAUGA
rnacentral:snRNA from 1 species